AUGCCCGGCGGCACUGAGGUGGCACAUCACAAUAUGAAGCACCGCUCCCGAUCCAUAGGAGACUUGGGUCAAAGGCAAGCCCACGGAAGUCAGCUCCAAUCCAGUCUUCUAAGCAGGGGUGUGGGAACUGAUGCCUGCUCAAGGUGCUAUCAGUUUUUUUUCUCUGACCAUGAAAAAGGGGAUUUGAAAAUAAAGCUUCCAUGGCAUGCAGAAACAGAGCAUGUGGUUGGAUCAACAAUAGAACAAACUACGGGGAUCAGGGAGGAGAGCAGCAGCCUACUGCUUCUUGGUUACUGCUCCCUCUGUUGA
rnacentral:rRNA from 1 species